rnacentral:hammerhead_ribozyme from 1 species
CACUGGUCGGGAGCUGGAGCCACUUCCCUGAUGAGCCCAAGGUAGGGCGAAACUAGUA